rnacentral:rRNA from 1 species
AGAGUUUGAUCAUGGCUCAGGACGAACGCUGGCGGCGUGCUUAACACAUGCAAGUCGAACGGAGUUAGACGCUGGAUUGAUAUCAGCUUGCUGAUGGAUUUCCUUGUCUAACUUAGUGGCGGACGGGUGAGUAACGCGUGAGUAACCUGCCUCUCAGUGGGGAAUAACGCCCUGAAAAGAGCGCUAAUACCGCAUAACAUAUAUUUGCCGCAUGACAGAUAUAUCAAAGAUUUAUCGCUGAGAGAUGGACUCGCGUCCGAUUAGCUUGUUGGUGGGGUAACGGCCCACCAAGGCGACGAUCGGUAGCCGGACUGAGAGGUUGAACGGCCACAUUGGGACUGAGACACGGCCCAGACUCCUACGGGAGGCAGCAGUGGGGGAUAUUGCGCAAUGGGGGAAACCCUGACGCAGCAACGCCGCGUGGAGGAUGACGGUUUUCGGAUUGUAAACUCCUUUUAUAAGGGACGAAUUAAGACGGUACCUUAUGAAUAAGCUCCGGCUAACUACGUGCCAGCAGCCGCGGUAAUACGUAGGGAGCAAGCGUUGUCCGGAUUUACUGGGUGUAAAGGGUGCGUAGGCGGCUUGGUAAGUCAGGUGUGAAAUGUAGAGGCUCAACCUCUGAACUGCACUUGAAACUAUUGAGCUUGAGUGAAGUAGAGGCAGGCGGAAUUCCCUGUGUAGCGGUGAAAUGCGUAGAGAUAGGGAGGAACACCAGUGGCGAAGGCGGCCUGCUGGGCUUUAACUGACGCUGAGGCACGAAAGCGUGGGUAGCAAACAGGAUUAGAUACCCUGGUAGUCCACGCUGUAAACGAUGAUUACUAGGUGUGGGUGGACUGACCCCAUCCGUGCCGCAGUUAACACAAUAAGUAAUCCACCUGGGGAGUACGGCCGCAAGGUUGAAACUCAAAGGAAUUGACGGGGGCCCGCACAAGCGGAGGAACAUGUGGUUUAAUUCGAUGAUACGCGAGGAACCUUACCCGGGCUCGAACGGCAGGCGAACGAUACAGAGAUGUUGAGGUCCUUCGGGACGCCUGUCGAGGUGCUGCAUGGUUGUCGUCGGCUCGUGCCGUGAGGUGUCGGCUCAAGUGCCAUAACGAGCGCAACCCUUGCCGUCAGUUACCAUCAGGUGAAGCUGGGGACUCUGGCGGGACUGCCACCGCAAGGUGUGAGGAAGGGGGGGAUGACGUCAAAUCAGCACGGCCCUUACGUCCGGGGCGACACACGUGUUACAAUGGCGGCCACAGAGGGGCACUACCUGGUGACAGGAUGGGAAUCUCGAAAAGCCGUCUCAGUCCGGAUCGGAGUCUGCAACCCGACUCCGUGAAGCUGGAUUCGCUAGUAAUCGCGCAUCAGCCAUGGCGCGGUGAAUACGUUCCCGGGCCUUGUACACACCGCCCGUCAAGCCAUGAAAGUCUGGGGCGCCUGAAGUCCGUGACCGAAAGGAGCGGCCUAGGGCGAAACAGGUAAUUGGGGCUAAGUCGUAACAAGGUAGCCGUACCGGAAGGUGUGGCUGGAACACCUCCUU